CGGCUGCAGGCGAUCGCCGGGUGGUCGCGGCGGCUGCCGCCGGCCUUCAACUGGCUCGGCUUCGAGUGCCGGCUGGCCGA
rnacentral:tRNA from 1 species